rnacentral:lncRNA from 1 species
UGGGGUCUAUGGGGUCUCUAUGGGAUCUUUAUGGGUUUCUAUGGGUCUCUAUGGGGUCUCUAUAGGGCUCUAUGGGGUCUAUGGGUUCUCUAUGGGUCUCUAUGGGGUCUCUAUGGGUCUUUAUGGGGUCUCUAUGGGUCUCUAUGGGCUCUAUGGGGUCUCUGGGUUUCUAUGGGGUCUAUAGGAUCUCUAUGGGUCUCUAUGGGUCUCUAUGGGGUCUCUAUGGGAUCUAUGGGGUCUAUGGGAUCUAUGGGGUCUAUAGAAUCUCUAUGGGUCUCUAUGGGGAUCUAUGGGGUCUCUAUGGGAUCUAUGGGGUCUAUGGGUCUCUAUAGGAUCGCUAUGGGAUCUAUGGGGUCUCUAUGGGAUCUAUGGGGUCUAUAGGAUCUCUAUGGGGCUCUAUGGGAUCACUAUGAGAUCUAUGGGGAUCUAUGGGGUCUAUGGGGUCUAUGGGGUUUCUAUGGGAUCUACCGGGUCUCUAUGGAACUCUAUGGGGUCACUAUGGGGUCUAUGGGUCUCUAUAGGAUCGCUAUGGGAUCUAUGGGGUCUAUGGGCUCUAUGGGGUCCCUCUGGGGCUCUAUGGGUCUCUAUGGGUCUCUAUGGGGCUCUAUGGGAUUUCUAUAAGGCUCUAUGGGAUCUAUGGGGCUCUAUGGGGUCUAUGGGGUCUCUAUGGGGUCUAUGGGCUCUAUGGGGUCUCUAUGGGGCUCUAUGGGGUCUCUAUGGGAUCUAUGGGGUCUAUGGGUCUCUAUAGGAUCGCUAUGGGAUCUAUGGGGUCUAUAGGAUCUCUAUGGGUCUCUAUGGGGAUCUAUGGAGAUCUAUGGGUCUCUAUGGGGCUCUAUGGGACCUAUGGGGUCUAUGGGGUCUGUAUGGGAUCUAUGGGGCGGCUAUGGGGCGGCUAUGGGGCCAGCCCUACCCGUCCCGUGCCAGCAGCCCCUUUAUGCUGCCAUCCUCUGCCUUCCUCCCGUCGCUGACGAUGAUGAUGGUGGAGCCGCCGGGACCCCGAGCCGCCAGCAGCCGCUGCGACCCCAAAGCUUUGCCCUAUAGGGAGACAUGGGGGGCAGCCCCAUAAGUUGGGGGGCUCACACGGCCCCAUAGAUUUCCCAUAUUGGGGAUCUGUGGGGUUAUGGGGCUGCCCCAUAAGUUGUGGGGCUCACAUGGCCCCAUAGAUUUCCCCUAUAGGGAGACAUGGGGGGCAGCCCCAUAAGUUGGGGGACUGACACGGCCCCAUAGAUUUCCCCUAUUGGGGAUCUGUGGGGUUACGGGCCGCCCCAUAAGUUGUGGGGCUGACACGUGACCCUACAGGGAGAAGCUAUGGGGCGGCCCCAUAAGUUGUGGGGCUCACACUGCCCCAUAGAUUUGCCUAUAGGGGAUCUAAGGGGUGAUGGGGCCGCCCCAUAAGCUGUGGGGCUCACACUGCCCCAUAGAUUUCCCCUAUAGGGGAUCUAUGGGGUUAUAGGGCUGCCCCAUAAGUUGUGGGGCUCACACUGCCCCAUAGAUUUCCCCUAUUGGGGAUCUAUGGGGUGAUGGGGCUGCCCCAUAAGUUGUGGGGCUGACACGUGGCCCUAUAAGGGGAAUCUAUGGGGCUGCCCCAUAAGUUGAGGGCCUCUCACUGCCCCAUAGAUUUCCCCUAUUGGGGAUCUGUGGGGUUAUGGGGCUGCCCCAUAAGUUGGGGGCUCACACGGCCCCAUAGAUUUCCCCUAUAGGGAGACAUGGGGGGCAGCCCCAUAAGUUGGGGGGCUCACACUGCCCCAUAGAUUUGCCUAUAGGGGAUCUAUGGGGUGAUGGGGCCGUCCCAUAAGUUUGGGGGGCUCACACUGCCCCAUAGAUUUCCCCUAUAGGGGAUCUAUGGGGUUAUAGGGCUGCCCCAUAAGUUGUGGGGCUCACACUGCCCCAUAGAUUUCCCCUAUAAGGGAUCUGUGGGGUUAUGGGGCUGCCCCAUAAGUUGGGGGCUCACACUGCCCCAUAGAUUUCCCCAAUAAAGGGAUCUAUGGGGUUAUGGGGCCGCCCCGU